ACUUUUAUUUUAAAAAUGAAAAAAAAAAUAUCAAAAUAUAUUUUGUCCUUUUCUGUUUUAUUUAGAAAAUGCUCUAGUGCUUUCUUUCACCUCCUUUCUUUAUUUUUUCCUUUGUCUUUUCCUUUUUCUUUUUGUCUCUUCACUUUUCUUUUUAAAAAUGAAAAAAAUAUCAAAAUAUAUUUUGUCCUUUUCUGUAGUAGAGAAAGCGAGAUCUUGGCUCUUCAAAAGAUUUUUCCAGCGCGUAAGUAAUUGACGUAACAACACAACAACAUACCCAGUGUAUUCCCACAAAUGUUAUGUUUUGUGGUAAAUUUUGAGAAGUGUUUCCAUUUUUAUGCUUACUAGGCAGUAAAUACAACAGUCUUGUUCUUUUUCCUUUUAUUUGUCUGAUUUGGUAGUUUAUCCGUGUAAUUCAGUUCACUUUAUGAUAAAAGCGAGAGUUUCAAUCAUCAUGUGCUCAAAAGGCCAGUUGUUUCAUCCUUUUCUAUUUUUAGCUAGUUUGUUAUGUGCAUUAUACGUGCAACUAUUUCUAAGCAUUGCGAUCAUGCGAGAAUUUUGCUCUAAUAGCUUGACCAGUCACUCAUAGAAAGUGUGUGUUCUUCUACUUUGUUGUGUUUAGGGAAUGGGACUUGUAGUGUUCUGAAAGUUGGGAGAAAUGGGAUGGAAAGUGGUGAAGUUAUGGAGAAUGUUUUAGCUGCUAUUGAUGGUGUUGUUGAAUUUGUUCCGAAAAAAUUGAGUGGUGUUAGAGCUUUUCAUUUGAAGUUUUUGGAUUCAUUAGCAUUGCCUAUUUAUGAAGCUUUGCCUGAUCAAAGAGAAAAUACUGAGAAGAAAAAGAAGUAGAGAAAGUGAAGAUUUUUCCAGCUAGAAUUGACGCAUAGGCUCGAUCACUAUCAAAUGUUACUUUUUGUGGUAAAUCUUGAUGAAGUGUUUCCAUUUUUAUGCUUACUUGGCAGUGAAUACCACAACAAUGUGUUCUUUUUCUUUUUGCUGUCCUUUUAUUGUCUGUUUCGGUGUUGUUUCAAUUGGGAAAUUCUAAUGUCACAUCUCUAGCUUCUCAGUGUAGUCGGUGUUGUUUCAAUUGGGAAAUUCUAGUGUUUUGAAAGUUGGGAGAAAUGAGAUGGAGAGUAGUGAAGUUGUUGAGAAUGUUUUAGCUGCCAUUGGUUGAAUUGUUGAGUUUGUUCCGAAAAAAUUGGGUGGUGUUAGAGCUUUUCAUUUGAAUUUUUGGAUUCAUUGGCGUUGCCUAUUUAUGAAGCUUUGCCUGAUCAAAGAGAAAAUACUGAGAAGAAAAAGAAUUAGAGAAAGUGAAGAUUUUUCCAGCUAGAAGUUAAGUAGUGAAGAUUUUUCCAGCUAGAAGUUAAGUAAUUGACGCACAGGCUCGAUUACAAUCAAAUGUUAUGGUUUGUGUUAAAUUUGGAUGAAUGUUUCCAUUUUUUUUCUUGGUAGGCAGUGAAUACAACAAUGUGUUUUUUUAUUGUCUGAUUUGAUCUAGUGUUGUUUCAAGUGGGAACUUCUAAUGUUAUAAUUCUUGGUAGCUUAUAAAUGUAGUCGGUUCAAUUUAUGAUAACUGUGAGAGUUUCAAUCAUCAUGUGCUAAAAAAGCCAGUUUUCAUCCUUUUCUAUUUUAGCUAGUUCUUAUGUGUACUAUACAUGCAACUAUAAUAAUAUAGAAAGAGUGUGUUCGUCAACUUUCUUGUGUUUAGGGGGUGGGACUUGUAGUGUUUUGAAGAUUGGGAGAAAUGGGAUGGAGAGUGGUGAAGUUAUGGAGAAUGUUUUAGCUGCCAUUGCAAGAAUUGUUGAGUUUGUUCCGAAAAAAUUGGGUGGUGUUCGAGCUUUUCAUUUGAAGUUUAGUGAUUCAUUGGCAUUACCUAUUUGCGAGGCUUUGCCUGAUCAAAAAGAAAAUACCUAGAAUCAAAAGAAGUAGAGAAAGCGAGAUCUUGGCUCUUCAAAAGACUGCGUAAGUAAUUGACGCAUAAGGCUCACAAUCAAAUGUUAUUUUUGUGAUAAAUUUGGAUGAAGUGUUUCAAUUAUAUGCUUACUAGGCAGUGAAUACAAUAAUGUGCUCUUGUUGCUGUCCUUUUAUUGUUUAAUUGGAUCUAGUGUUGUUUCAAGUGGGAAACUACUAAUGUUAUGUUUCUUGGUAGCUUAUCAGUGUAGUCGGUUCAAUUUACGAUAAAAGUGAGAGUUACAAUCAUCAUGCGCUUCAAAGGCCAGUGUUUCAUCCUUCUCUAUUUUAGCCAGUUGUUGCGUGUAUUAUACGUGCAGCUAUUUCUAAGCGUUGCAAUCAUGCGAGAAUUUUGCUCUAAUAUCUUGAGCAGUGAUAAACGUUAGCUGAUUCCUGAUCACUCAUAUUUUCAGGUUUCAAAAGUAAAAGCAUUGAUGUUUUAUGACAUCUUAUAUGUUGAUUGUGUAUGUGCCUGUUUUAUUACAGUAUAUGCUAAGCAACACCAGCAAGAGUAUUAUUCUCUUUCAUUAUCUGUGUACCAAGCUUUCUGGUAGUACUUGUGGUGAUACCCACUAAUAACAUCAUGUCAAACGCCCAAGUUAUUAUCGAAAAAAAAAAAAUAGUUACAACAUCCAAGGUUCGUAACAGAGCUUUUAUGCAGAAAUGUUAUCUCUUAGAUUGAAGAAAUAAGGCCUCUCUCUUUGAGGAAUGCGAUGCAAUCAUCAAACAUCUCUUCAAUGGACUUGACUUUCCUCCUAAGCCCUCCAGCUUCGAAGUGUUGAAUUCAUAGGGAGGUCGAUCCAGUUCCUUAAACCUGAAAUGGCAGUGUUGGCAAAUGUGAAUCUUCAUCAAAACGGGGCAGAGCUACAUGUUAUGAAGGGAAAAGGAAAAGGGAUGUUAUGGAACUGAUGGGUUUGAACCAUCUACCUCAAAGUAGAAGGCAAGGAGCUCACCAAAUUAGCCACCCUCAACGCCAUGAAGGGAAUUCAAUUGAAUCCCCUUAGUCAGAAAAUUAUGUUGUGUAAAAGGAUAGAAAGAACCAGAGUUCUU